ACAGUGUAAUAUAGUAUUAAUAGUAAACAAUAUCUUUGUAAUACCUGAUAAUAUAUAUAUCAUCUUCGCAUAUAUACAUUACAUUAGAAAUAACUUUAAGCUUGCACUUCUACCAGUACUACAUAUAACUUCAUGCCAAUUCAAUUAGAUACUUUGCCAGAAACAGAAACAAUUGAACAAGUGAGGAUUUAUCCUUCUAAAAAUAAAGAUCACAAUGGCAUCUGUUGUAAAGUACGCAAAAAAUAUUUAUUAUGAUCCUUUUAAAUGGUCUGUAAUUAAGAGCAUUGGAUUAUUUGUAUUAGGCGUAAAGAUUGCUCUUGAAUGUAAAGGAAUGAACCUAAUGCCACCAAUCUCUUAAAAACUGAAAUAUACAAGCUGAAAAUAUAAAAAUUACCAAUAUAUUUAAAUUUGCCAUAUUGUACAUGUGCAUAUGUAAUAUUUUGUAAUUUUAUCAUGUAAAAAAUCGUGUUAAACGAAGGAGAACACAUUUAUAUAUUCUUGCUUUAACCGACCCAUUCAUUCAUUUCUAUGCUUGUACGUAUGUAAAGUCAAAAACACAAUAUAUCAUGUUAAUAUUAUUUGUAAUAUGUAAUAAAGCUUUCAGCCAUUUUUAUUUAUUAAGAAGCUUUGUGUAAAAUAUACUAAUAAAUGUAUUUGUUUUCCUUAA
rnacentral:lncRNA from 1 species